GUAACUUCGGGAUAAGGAUUGGCUCUAAGGGUUGGGUAUAUCGGGCCCUGGCGGGAAGCCGCUGAUGCUGGACUGGACUGCUGUGUGGCAACAUGCGGUGGACCGGACCGGCGUCGGCGUGUGGACGGCCAGGGCAGUCCCUCGGGACGGCCGGUAUACAUUUAACAACCAGCUUAGAACUGGUACGGACAAGGGGAAUCUGACUGUCU
rnacentral:rRNA from 1 species